CCUACGGGAGGCAGCAGUGAGGAAUAUUGGUCAAUGGACGAGAGUCUGAACCAGCCAAGUAGUGUGAAGGAUGACUGCCCUAUGGGUUGUAAACUUCUUUUAUAUGGGAAUAAAAUGUUCCACGUGUGGGAUUUUGUAUGUACCAUAUGAAUAAGGAUCGGCUAACUCCGUGCCAGCAGCAGCGGUAAUACGGAGGAUCCGAGCGUUAUCCGGAGUUAUUGGGUUUAAAGGGAGCGUAGGUGGAUUGUUAAGUCAGUUGUGAAAGUUUGCGGCUCAACCGUAAAAUUGCAGUUGAAACUGGCAGUCUUGAGUACAGUAGAGGUGGGCGGAAUUCGUGGUGUAGCGGUGAAAUGCUUAGAUAUCACGAAGAACUCCGAUUGCGAAGGCAGUUCACUGGACUGCAACUGACACUGAGGCUCGAAAGUGUGGGUAUCAAACAGGAUUAGAUACCCUGGUAGUC
rnacentral:rRNA from 1 species